GGAGGAGCCAAGAUGGCCGAAUAGGAACAGCUCCUGUCUACAGCUCCCAGCUUGAGCCACGCAGAAGAUGGGUGAUUUCUGCAUUUCCAUCUGAGCUUCCAGGCUACACCCUGCAAGGUCAUUAUCAUUAGCUGCACUUUACAGGAGAGGAAGCUGAGGCUCAGAGAAGCAAACUGCCCUCCUACUUAUGUUGAAGACUUUCCCAUCCUAUGAGCCCAGGUGGGAGAAGCUGAAAAUGGCAGAAGGUCACUUUUCCAGCUGCCCUGUGCCUGGUGAGCCUGUGACACAGACCCCGUUGCUCACAUAUCCACCCAGUUUGGUGCCAUAGGUGGUAGAGGGCCUCGAGGGCCAGGCUGGGGAGAUUUUGCUUUAUUCUCAAG
rnacentral:lncRNA from 10 species